rnacentral:lncRNA from 1 species
AAUAGUGCCUGCAACUUUUACAGGAUCAUUGCUGAAGCCGUAUAAAGGAGCUUCCUGCCCGACCUCCAUUUUCUGCCCGUCGAGGUGCAUCCUCUGAUAGGCAUGGGCAUACAGGAUAUCUACUGAAGAUCCAUUGUCUAUCAUCAUACGCUUCAUGUCCACCGUGCCCACUUGCGCUGUGAUCACCAAGGCCCCCUCAUGCGGCUCAAUGGGCUCCGAA